rnacentral:rRNA from 1 species
GAUGAACGCUGGCGGCGUGCCUAAUACAUGCAAGUCGAGUGAACGGACGAGAAGCUUGCUUCUCUGAUGUUAGCGGCGGACGGGUGAGUAACACGUGGAUAACCUACCUAUAAGACUGGGAUAACUUCGGGAAACCGGAGCUAAUACCGGAUGAUAUGUUGAACCGCAUGGUUCAAAAGUGAAAGACGGUCUUGCUGUCACUUAUAGAUGGAUCCGCGCUGCAUUAGCUAGUUGGUAAGGUAACGGCUUACCAAGGCAACGAUGCAUAGCCGACCUGAGAGGGUGAUCGGCCACACUGGAACUGAGACACGGUCCAGACUCCUACGGGAGGCAGCAGUAGGGAAUCUUCCGCAAUGGGCGAAAGCCUGACGGAGCAACGCCGCGUGAGUGAUGAAGGUCUUCGGAUCGUAAAACUCUGUUAUUAGGGAAGAACAUAUGUGUAAGUAACUGUGCACAUCUUGACGGUACCUAAUCAGAAAGCCACGGCUAACUACGUG